rnacentral:rRNA from 1 species
ACGCACGCUGGCGGCGUGCUUCACCCAUGCAAGUCGAACGGAAAGGCCCCUUUGGGGGUCCUCGAGUGGCGAACGGGUGAGUAACACGUGAGUAACCUGCCCUUGACUUCGGGAUAACUUCAGGAAACUGGGGCUAAUACCGGAUAGGAAUCCUUGCUGCAUGGUGGGGGUUGGAAAGCUUCGGCGGUUUUGGAUGGACUCGCGGCUUAUCAGCUUGUUGGUGGGGUAGUGGCUUACCAAGGCUUUGACGGGUAGCCGGCCUGAGAGGGCGACCGGCCACAUUGGGACUGAGAUACGGCCCAGACUCCUACGGGAGGCAGCAGUGGGGAAUAUUGCACAAUGGGCGGAAGCCUGAUGCAGCAACGCCGCGUGCGGGAUGACGGCCUUCGGGUUGUAAACCGCUUUCAGCAGGGGCGAAGCUUGUGGUGACGGUACCUGCAGAAGAAGCACCGGCUAACUACGUG